rnacentral:rRNA from 1 species
UACGUAGGGUGCAAGCGUUGUCCGGAAUCACUGGGCGUAAAGGGCGCGUAGGUGGUGGCUUAAGCGUGCGGUGAAAGCUCGGGGCUCAACCCCGAGUCGGCCGUGCGAACUGGGCUCACUGGAGCAUAGUAGAGGCAGGUGGAAUUCCGGGUGUAGCGGUGGAAUGCGUAGAGAUCCGGAAGAACACCGGUGGCGAAGGCGGCCUGCUGGGCUAUGGCUGACACUGAGGCGCGACAGCGUGGGGAGCAAACAGG